AGACUUAAGUAAUGGCUAAUAAGAAAUUACUGCGUCAAGACUUUGUAUAUAAGUAAAAAAUUGGUCAGUCUAGACUAAGAAGACGUCCAAGCAACUAAAAAUACUUUUAAAAAAAUGUCAAAAAUGCUGAUAAUUAUUUUUGUGGCUUUCGCGAUCAUGGCAAUAAUAAGAAAUGCCGAUGGAUUCUGUUCAGAUGUGGGAACGGCGUGUGUCUCAUUCAUACCAUGCUGUGGAAAUUCUGAAUGUCAAAGUAAAGGUUUCUUUUAUGGAGAGUGUGUACCCAUCAAUAAAAACGAAUAUUCAAACUCAAUAGAAGAAAAUGAUACGAAAAUUGUGUGGUAAAUUCUUAUUUAAUGGUUUUUAAGAUUUUUUGUUUCACUGUAAAAAAUUUGUAGAGUGAAUACGGAUUUAAAUAAAAUCCAGAUCACUCCGAAAUUAAUCGGCUGAAAAAAAUUUCCUGUUCACUCCGUGCGGAGUUAAUUUUUUUAAAACUCCGUGACAGUGAAUUCGGAUUUGAAUGAAAUUCAUAAUCACUCCCAAUGUUUUACAGUACACAUUAAUCAUCUUAAAAAAAAAAAAAUAAGUACUACUUUUAAAUGAAUUCAAGAAUUUCCUUUAUCUCAAAUUGCUGUUAUUUUUUUUUAUAUUAGUAUUUGAUUUUGUGGAUAACCCUUUUGAUCAGAUUACCAGCCUAAGGCGAAUACAUAUUUACAUUGCAUUACUAAGAUUUCCAAGCCCAACUAAGUCGUGAUUUACAUUAAAAUCCACUGUAAAAAAAUAAUAAAUCAACAAAAC